rnacentral:rRNA from 1 species
AUUGAACGCUGGCGGCAGGCCUAACACAUGCAAGUCGAGCGGAUGAGUGGAGCUUGCUCCAUGAUUCAGCGGCGGACGGGUGAGUAAUGCCUAGGAAUCUGCCUGGUAGUGGGGGACCACGUUUCGAAAGGAACGCUAAUACCGCAUACGUCCUACGGGAGAAAGGGGGGGAUCUUCGGACCUCACGCUAUCAGAUGAGCCUAGGUCGGAUUAGCUAGUUGGUGAGGUAAAGGCUCACCAAGGCGACGAUCCGUAACUGGUCUGAGAGGAUGAUCAGUCACACUGGAACUGAGACACGGUCCAGACUCCUACGGGAGGCAGCAGUGGGGAAUAUUGGACAAUGGGCGAAAGCCUGAUCCAGCCAUGCCGCGUGUGUGAAGAAGGUCUUCGGAUUGUAAAGCACUUUAAGUUGGGAGGAAGGGCAGUAAGUUAAUACCUUGCUGUUUUGACAUUACCAACAGAAUAAGCACCGGCUAACUUCGUGCCAGCCGCCGCAGUAAGAC